rnacentral:rRNA from 1 species
GACGAACGCUGGCGGCGUGCUUAACACAUGCAAGUCGAACGGAAAGGCCCUGCUUUUGUGGGGUGCUCGAGUGGCGAACGGGUGAGUAACACGUGAGUAACCUGCCCUUGACUUUGGGAUAACUUCAGGAAACUGGGGCGAAUACCGGAUAGGAGCUACUGCUGCGUGGUGGGGGUUGGAAAGUGUCGGCGGUUGGGGCUGGAAUCGCGGCUUAUCAGCUUGUUGGUGGGGUAGUUGCGUACCAAGGCUUUGACGGGUAGCCGGCCUGGGAGGGUGACCGGCCACAUUGGGACUGAGAUACGGCCCAGACUCCUACGGGCGGCAGCAGUGGGGAGUAUUGCACAGUGGCCGGGAGCCUGAUGCAGAGACCCCGCGUGCGGGAUGACGGCCUUCGGGUUGUAAACCACUUUCGACUGUGCCGAGGCGUGAGUGACGGUAAUGGGUAAAGAAGCACCGGCUAACUACGUG